rnacentral:rRNA from 1 species
CUGACGCAGCGACGCCGCGUGAGUGAUGAAGGCCUUCGGGUCGUAAAGCUCUGUCCUGAGGGAAGAAAAAAGUGACGGUACCUGAGGAGGAAGCCCCGGCUAACUACGUGCCAGCAGCCGCGGUAA